GAACAGGGCCUCGUCGCCCCGCUACCGCCCUGAGGCUGACCGGCUCCUGAGGCUGACCGGCUCCUGCACAGGCCUAGAACCCCGGUGGUCUCAGCGCCCCCAGGAGCUCCCUGAAUCUUCUUUCUACCCUUCCCCAUCUCAAGGUUGGCUGGGUCUGAGGCAGGGCUCGAGGCAGCGCCGCCCUGGCCUCACCAGCUCUGGGAGAAUUCUAGUGGGACAUUGUGGAGAAAGAGAAAUACUUUGAGAUGCAUGAGGAAAAUGUUAAAAAUGAUCAUGGAAGCAAGACUUAUCAUAAUCAGAUCCUUACUGAGUCCCUUUAUGGCAGGUCCUGUGCUGAGGAAUCACUGAUGAACUGGCACUGACACAGUCGCUGUGCUGGGGAGCUUCCUUCCGGUGGAGCAGUCGGCGUGAGUCAAAUAUUUCCUUUGGAUGACACAUAGGCUGGUGCUUCCUUUCUUUCCCCUGGGCCUAACAAUCUUGGCAGUUUCUCAUUUUGGGGUCCCAAGUGGUGAGGUUUCCAUGUAGCCAUCCCUUUCCCUGAUAAAGGGAGCCUCAGAUAUUAUGCACUCUCAUCUUCUGCAGAUUUCAUCAGGAAAAAGAGAAAUCCUGAACGACAUUAAAUAAAGACAUUUCAGCCAAGGCUACCAAGUGCCUUUCAUCAUGGACCAAAAAUGCCUCCUUUAUUCAGAUGUUUUUGCUCUAAGAAGAAGACCCAUUGUCUGCUACCUGCCUCUGCCCUAGCUCACCCAAUUAAAAUCUGGUGUCUUGUCUCGAUCUUCAAGCAGUCCACUACUGACCCUCAGGCUGCUUGUGGUUGAUCUCCAUGGUGACCUCAUCAUUAACCUGUGUAGGUCCCUCUGUAUUAACAGAGAAAACCAGGGUUGAUAUUCUGAUUAGAGAGGACAGGUAGCAAUGGAACGAUGCAGCCUUUGAAGUUUAACCAAAACACUGUCACCACUUUAGAGUUGUUUCUCAGAGGACAAAAUGUUUAUUUUAAUGUAAUGGGUACAGAACCCAUUACCAGUCCAUGAGUGAAGAUAUUAGUAGAAUGCCUAGAAACACAAAUAUUGUCAAAUAAUACAAACUCUAUAUUUAAAUCAAAUACUAUACAAUGGACAUCUUUCAUUGUCUCUAGCUAUCUAUCAUUCAUUCCAUCGUUUGACCUGUGAACAAAAAAAGGGGCUAUGUGGUAAAUCUGACAAGCACAGUCAGCAAAAGUAACCCUCACAGGGUGAUAUAAUCUUAAAUUCUAAACUGUGCAGGUCAUAGUGCACAGUCAGGCCUCUGGCCUGUAAGUUCCUUAGUGAAAGGUUUAUCUUUGGCUUAAGCAAGCCCUGGCCAUUAUUUGUGUACAUCUAGGUUAAUACACUUUUGAAAUGCCAGAAUAAUCUUCUCUUUUAGACCCUUCUGAAGCCACCCUCAAGGGAGUACAUGGCCUUGCUACCUGUAUACCAUCCCAAUUUACUGUAAAUGCUAAAUGUUAACAAUCUUGUACCCAGCAUUGGAAAUGCUGUAUGUAUCUCUCCAUUUUACUUUUUGCCCAAUCAUAGGGAUUUCUCUAGUUUGCAUUUUCCUACCUCCUAAAUCUACCCCCAGUGGAUUUCUUGGAGUCUUUCCUAUGUUCUCUCAUUUGAUUUCAAAUGCAUACAAAAGACCUGCAAACUGUUACUCUGAGUGUUUUCUUAGACUUGAGAUCUUCCUUCUAGGCAUGUCUUCAGUUUGGCUCAAAUAAAUUCAUAAAAUUUGCUAUAGGUUUGGACGUUCUUAUGUCAACAGAUAUAAUUCAUUUAACACUUUCCUUCUCUCCUAUUGAUGGUCAUUUAAGUAUUUUUAUUUACAAACAAUAUUGCAAUGAGUAUCUUUGCACAUCUAUCUUUACAAAUGUGUACUAUUAUUAUAAAACUAAUUUUUGGAAAUGGAACUCCUUGUUGAAAAAAGUUAUUCCAAUGUUUACUCCCUGUAGUGAAUGAGAAUAUGCAUUUCCACAUAAGUUGUUAACCAGCUGAUUUCAUAAGUAAAAUGUGGUCUAAUUGCUGUUUUUCCAACAUUUAGAACCAAAUGUGCCAGGAAAUUUACAUACACAGUUGGAAUUAAUUUCCUUCUUGCAAAAAUAGUGAGGUAAGAAUUUCUAACCUUUUUACAAUUGAAAAACAAAAUGUGAGUUAGCUGUGUGCUCUUAGGCAAAUAAUUUAAGUACUCUGUAUUUUCAAUGUACCUAGUAGAAAACAGAAGUUGUGAUACUAUCCUUAUCUACUACCUGGGUGUGAUGGUCUGUUUUAUGUGCCAAUUUAGGUAGGCAAUCAAACAGUAAUUUAGGUGUUGCCAUGCAGGCAUUUUAUAGAUGUGAUAAAAAUUCAUAUCAGUUGACUUCAAGUAAGGGAGAUUAGAUAAUUUGGGUGGGUCUGUCUUAAUCAGUUGAAGCAUCUUAUGAACAGAACUGAGGCUUCCCUGAGGAAAUCCCAGGUGUGGAUUCAGUUGAGCCCCAGAGUUCCUGAUGGCCUGCCUCACAGAUUUCAGGCUUGCCUAGCCAGCCCUACAACUGCAUUAAAAAAUUAAAACUAAUUUGUUUUAAUAAAUCUACAUAUUUCUUAUUGGUUCUGAAACCAGAAAAGUCAGUGUUCAUGGUGCCUGUCACUACCAGAAUCAAUAAGUAGAGACAAGGACUGAAUAUUUAUGGGUGCUUUGUUCAGAUGGCUGGCAAUCUGAGAACACAGCGUGUUAUGUGCCCUCAAAAACCAUCGUAUAAAUGGUAAUAUAAAAAAAUACAAUAAAGAUUAUAUUUUAAAAAACCCCAUCUUAACAUCUCCUUUCAAGCCAUUUUUUUAUAAGGAGAAGAAAUGGUGGGUAAGAGGUUUGGGAAAAGGCUAAACUGGAUAAGAGUUGUAGUUCGGCAGCGAUUUUCUUAGUACUUCUUAAUUGGCAUCAUGACUGUUCCCUCCCUGGAACACAGUGGCUCAAAUACUGUCUCCAUGGCUUGCAGAACUCCUGGGGUACAAAGGUUGAAUUGCUUGUGACAUCCUAGAGUCACAUGGUCAUGCAUUCUAGUUCCUGGAAUAACAGUUUUUCAUGUGGAUCGGUCAGUUAAGCCUAUCAACAAAGGCUGAAAUCUUUAGUGAGUUCCCCUAUCAGUUCUGUCUCUCUGGUCGAACACAAUGGGGAUGUGUUAAAAAUAAAAGUGCUACAAGGUAUUUUAUGGUUCCUGCCAGAUGUAUGAUGGACAUGAUACUAUUACAGUUGAAAUGUGCU